UUCAAUGUAAACAGCAUUGCGAAGCGAAAAUAACGUUGACGUAUAAUUGUUUUCAGGUGAUUUCGUUUUCAAAAUAGUGUUUUCUUCUUUUCAAAAGAUAAUUUCACAACUAAUUUAAUUGUCUUUAUAUUUUGUAUUGUGAGAUUUGCCUGAUAUGCUGAGGUUUCUUACCAAAGUAUUACCUGGUACUGAUACUAUUAUAUUGAGAAUAUUGGCAAACACAUUUUGACAAGACUCCAGUGAUUGAUCAUAUUUUAAUUGAAGGUACCUCAGAUGAGCAGGAGACUGCUGAACCUGAUAAUGUCGCAGACUUUGACGCAGAAACUCAACAAAUCAAUUAUCAAUACUAUCACAAAGAGGCCUCACAAGCUUGAAGUCUGAAAACAUCAAUGGCAAAUGCCCAGGCUGCAGCAAUAUCCAAAAGUGAAGUGGCUGUAGUGUCAGCUAUGACUAAUGUGUGCUUUGCUGCACAACAUACUCUCGCAUCAUCGCUGGUUCCAGACCUGAAUAGAUUGUGUGUCUUGCAGGGUGCAACCCAGCUCAAUGACCUUCGAGUUGACAACCACACGUCAUAUGAACACAGCUCCAGUGUGUCGGAAUUUCAAAACUGUAUGGCAGACGUUCUGAGGAGUGAUCUUCUCCAGAAGAUACAUACAUCAUGCAAGUACAGUAUCAUGAUCGAUGAGAGUACAGGCAUUUCAGUGAAGCAAAAUUUAGUGACCUAUGUUAGACUUUUGGAAACUGAUGAGUUUGGAAUGGCUGAACUUCAAAGAGCAAAUGCAGAGAGCAUAUAUGAGAAUGUAGUUAAUUUGCUUUGUAGAAAGGGAUUUGACAUUCAACACCUCUCAAAAAUUCUAUUAAAAUUGAAAACUUGGAGAACUUGUUGAUUUUUCCAUAAACAGCCCACCAAUGGAAAAGUUUUAUUUCAAACGUGCUUUCAAGAUUUGGGCUGGAUUGAAGUUGAAGCGGAUUAUGGCUUUCUGCUAAAAUAUAUGUUCAGGAUAGCAUGUGCUCAUGUAAUGUAAAUUUAUCAUGUGCUUACUUUAUGAACAUGUUCUUGAGUUAUGAUGUGAGUUUAUCUAUAAAUGUUUUGUUGUACUGUUGUUGUUUUUUUGUUAUGCACACAUGAUGUGAAUUAUGGCUUUCUGCUAAAAUGUAUAUUCAGGAUAUCUUGUGCUCAUGUAAUGUAUAUUUAUCAUAUGCUUAUUUUAUGAACAUGUGCCUGAGUUAUAAUGUAUGUACUUCUAUAAUUGGUUUGUUGUUAACUGUUUAUUUUUGUUAUAAUCACAUGAUGAUUAUAGUAAUAAACAUAUUAAAGCUU